rnacentral:rRNA from 1 species
CAGCAGCCACGGUAAUACAGAGGGUGCGAGCUUUAAUCGGAUUUACUGGGCGUAAAGCGUGCGUAGGCGGCUUUUUAAGUCGGAUGUGAAAUCCCUGAGCUUAACUUAGGAAUUGCAUUCGAUACUGGGAAGCUAGAGUAUGGGAGAGGAUGGUAGAAUUCCAGGUGUAGCGGUGAAAUGCGUAGAGAUCUGGAGGAAUACCGAUGGCGAAGGCAGCCAUCUGGCCUAAUACUGACGCUGAGGUACGAAAGCAUGGGGAGCAAACAGGAUUAGAUACCCCCGUAGUCCCUGUCUCUUAUAC